ACUAUUAUACAUAUGAGCCACUUUUAACUUUCCGAUUCUGUUAUAAGAAAUUUCACCACUGUUAACCAUGCAUAGUGGAAAGGGAAAAAAAGGGAUAUAACUUAGACGUUCAACACAUGACUAAAAAGACAACUAUUAUGAAUUCGUAUUUUUGCGAAUUAGCAUUAUCUCUAUAGAAUAUAUUAAUGCAUUAACAAACUUCAAAAUAUAAAAAUGUAGACCCACAGGAAUUGAGAAGCCGACAAUGUGUAAAUGUUAACGCUUUGAUAUCUCAGUGACCACCUCCAAUGAUUACUCUUUUUUUUUCUUUUCCACUCCAAAAUAGAUAAAUCAAGCAGUAAACUCUUCAUUGAGAUUUAUGAAACAUUUGUAAACUGUUUCACAUUAUAUUAGAUACCCUUGAAUAAAGGACAUGGAAGAAACAUGGAGUGAAUGACUCAUUCUGUAAGUCUGGAUAACUCUCUAAAUAAGGAAAUACUUAUAGUGUCAUGCAUAUGCGUAUGAAUGUCAUGCCAUGCUUAAAUACAUGUGUUCAUAACAUCAUUAAGCCUCUGAGGGCAACCCAUCAUAUCAUCACGGCCACUGUGGGCAAAAUCAUCAACGUAUACCAGCUAAUCAUAUGGUGGUGCGAAUAUAACACAAUAACCUUUUUUUCCAUAUCCCCUAUACAUAUAAUAAACAUAUAUACGUGUAUAUAACACCAUAACAUCAUCACGCCUCUAAGGGGAUCCCAUUAUAUCAUCUCGGCCACUGUGGGCAAAAUCAUCAGAGUAUACGAGCUGAUCAGGUGGUGGUGUGUCUAUAAUACCAUAACCUUUUACAUAUCCCAUAUACAUACAUACAUACAUACAUACAUACAUACAUACAUAUAUAUAUAUAUAUAUAUAUAUACAUAUAUAUAUAUAUAUACAUAUAUAUAUACAUAUAUAUAUACAUACAUAUAUAUAUAACACAUAAUAUAUGCGUAUAUAAUGUCGUCUGGUCAUUGGUCAAUGUAAAUGUAUAAAUCCAUAAGAAAUACGUUAAUAAGAUUUUCUCGGAAUACCAUA
rnacentral:lncRNA from 1 species